ACAGCAUGAUGGAGACGCUUUCUAAUUAGAUCCUUAAGUCUCUCCUAGGUCUUAUGGAAUUUCUCACCAUUAACUUGUUAAAAGCUAGUGAUGGCUCCCCUGAUUU